AGAAGCAAGCAAGAGAUUAAGAGUAAGUAGAGAAUUGAGAGAGAAGCAGAAUUUGAGAGAGAAAGGAGGAGUGAAAUGAAGAGAGAAACAGAGGCAGAGAGGGAGAUCCGGCCGAUCCUUCAGUAGAGUCCCGGCCGAUUGUAGCAGACCGAGAGAGAGAAGAUGAGAGACCCGAAGCCGUGAACCCCAAGCAAACCCGAAGAUCCGGCGUGAGCCCAGCCAAAACCCACAACUCAGCACCGAUGGCUGGCGGACGGCGUCACCCAGCAGAGCCCAUCCCAUCCCGGCGUGACCCAGGACCCGAUCGUGGAGCCGUGAACCACGACCCGUCCAACCCAGCCGUGAAACCAUGAACCCAACGAACCCGUGCGUGAUCCAGCCAUGAUCCAUGACCCAGCCGUGAAGACCACCGACCCAGAAGCCCAUUCCAGCUGCGAUUCAGACCAGACCCGUGAACCUCGGCCCAACCCAGACGAUCCAGCUGAACCCGUGAACCCCGGCCCAACCCGUGACCCGUGAGCCCAGUCCAGCAAGCAGUAGCUGAGCCCAGUCCAGCCCAUCCCAGCAAGCAAGCCCAACCCAGUCGGCCCACGAACCAAUUUCAGCCCAGACCCGCUGAGCCUGACCCAGCAGUGAUCCAACCAUGACCUGAACCCGGAGACCCGACCCGCCGGUGACCCGUCUCCGGCAGAGUCUUCCGGCGAUUUUUCCGGUAACCUUUCCGGCGACUUCCCGUGACCAAACUCACCGUUUUCACUAGAUUUUCUAGUAAAAUCCUUAAUGUGAGUUUCUGGGUUUUUAAUUAACUUAAUGGUAUAUACUUACAUGAAAUCAAUUAAUAAGUAUUUUAGAUUAUAACUUUGAUAAAUAUAGAAUUGAAUAUUUUGAUAAAUAACUUAUUAAUGUAUAUUAUAUUUAUUGAGUGUUUAAAUCAUAUGUAGAAUAAUAUGGAAAAUGAAUAAUCGGUGCUAUUAAAAAUAUUAGAGGAUGGUUUAAGUGUUAAAACUAAGAAUAAUAAUAACAUUAGGCAAAGAGGUUUUAUAAAUAGAAUUAGGAUUUGUGCUAAAUGAUGUUAACACUUUGUGUGGAUAUACCUAUAAUUUUUCAGAUGAUGACUUGAGAGACUGCAUGAAUUGGCUGUUAAUAGACAAAGACCAGAACUCAAGAGGUUUUAUAGCUAAGGACGCAUAGUUUAUAUUUUGUUUGUAGUCUUCUGUGUUUAUAGCAUUUUAUAUUGACAAAAUUGCUAAUGAUUUAUAUGUAUUCUUUUGUGUCAUUAUGGACACCUGUUUCCUUGUAUUUGUUAUAAGAAUUUUCUAAUGAAUAUCUAGAGGUAUUUAAUUUAAAA